rnacentral:rRNA from 1 species
GACGAAGGGGGCUAGCGUUGUUCGGAAUUACUGGGCGUAAAGCGCGUGUAGGCGGUUGUCCAAGUUGGAUGUGAAAACCUUGAGCUUAACUCAAGAAAUGCAUUCAGGACUGGAUGACUAGAGGACCGGAGAGGAUAGUGGAAUUCCCAGUGUAGUGGUGAAAUACGUAGAGAUUGGGAAGAACACCAGUGGCGAAGGCGGCUAUCUGGACGGUUUCUGACGCUAAGACGCGAAAGCGUGGGGAGCAAACAGG